rnacentral:lncRNA from 1 species
UCAAUCGACUUUCACAUCUCAAAGCAUAUACUUUCACAACACACAUCAAUCAUCAACAAACACCACAUAGAUCUCAUUUUUCCCCCCAAAUCAAGGAAAGAAAAAGAAAAUUUUUGAAGGGUAAAGACCCAUUUUUUUGAAAAUUUUAAGAACAAGGGAGAGGUGAUUUUCUUUCUUCAUACAACAUCAUUCAAGCAAGAUUUAUGGAAUACAUGACCACUUACCCAAAUUUCUCACCAAAACUCACAUUUUCUCACUCUAGCUUGGAAGCCUUUCUUCAAUGAUUCUCUUGAAUAUAAGUAGCUAGGAUGUGUUUAUGGAAGAUUUUAGAGUGGAUUGAGGUGUUUUGUAAAAUUUUUGGAAGCUCCGAAGGUCUCUUCAAUGGAGGAAAAUGGAGGAAAGUGAGAGAAAGAGGGAGAGAGGUGUUGGUCGAAAAUGAUGAGUGAGUAGUGAGAGAGGAUUUUGCAAGAUUGUAAAUGAUCUUGUGAUCUUUAAAGAGGAUUUUGUAAUCUUAAGGAAAUAUUGACAAUUAAUGCCUUGAUCUCUCUCUCUCUAAUCUCUACACUAUCUCUCUAAUCUCUACACUCUCUUCAAUAAUCUCUACACUUGGCAAAUUGUGGUAUUUAGUCACAUGGUAGGGAAAUUAAAGUAAUAGUGUGAGAAGGGUGAUCAAAAAUAAAUCACAAAAACUAUGGAAAUGUACUAAUUAAUAAAAUACCAAUACAUAAUUAUUCAUGUGACCACAUAAAAUAAUUAUAGCACUAAUAUUAGUGCACUCACUCAAUUAUAAUAUUCCUCUCAUAGGAAAAAUAAUUUUAAAACAAAAUAUAUGCUUGGAAAUAUUUUCAUUAACCGGCAUUCUUUGAUUUCUCGGUAAAAAUAAACUGCACUUGCUUUAGAAACUUAAUUAAAAUUCCAAGUGCUAAUAUCCUCAAAUAAAAAUCAUAAUAACUUGCUCACAAUGACAUACGUAACAAAACUCACAUAAUCAAUCAGUCACGUAAUUUCACAUAAUAUCACGUCAAAGCAGUCGGCAAACACAGACAAACUAGACGUCUCUCCGACCGUUUUUUUUUUUUUUUUUUUUUUUUUUCAAGGUUUUUCACUCUUUCUUUCUCGACUCUAUUUCCAACUCAUUAUUCCUAUUUUCUUAAUAGGACAGUCAAUCUCUCUGACAUCUCAGUAUUCUCAAUAGUGUUAAGACACUAUCUCACAACAUAGGGAAAAGUACGGGGUGUUACAUGUACUAUCAAAUUUAGAUAAAAUUCAUGACUUCAUGCAUAAUUUAAAAUUCAUGUGGCUCAUAUAAAUACACUUAACUCACCAAUUAAAACUUAUGCACCACAUUUAUAAAAAUUUUCCUUUAACUAAGCACAUUAAAAC